UUGUUCUCACUCAGGCCUACACUGCAAACAAUAAUGCAAAGUGAUGUUCAUAAAUGGAGAGACAGUUACUGAGACCUUUACUCAGAUUGGUAACUCAGUCCUCAUACCAAAGAAGUCAAUUUCUGCAAGUGGUGCCAAAUUAUGGCAUCUUCACUGACACCACGGUCAUGGUAAAAUCUCACUCGGUUUCAUGAGAACUUCUUCGAUGAAGAGCCACCAACCACAGCAGAAACCCCACAGUCCAGCAAAGUGAACUGCCGUGACAAAACCAGGUACCAAUGGGAAAAUGCCUCACACUCUUUUCAAUGCCAUUCCCCUACCGAUUGCAGCUUAACUCCGAUUCCUAUUCUGCUUUUAUACAGCGUGUGAUCCUCCUCCAUCCUUCUGCCCCCAGACUGACAGCUGCUCCUCCUGUCCUUGAAGCACGAAAGGAAACAUAUGACUGGCUUGUGGCUCUUCCUCUCCUCAAAGCGAGUGACAAGGUCACAUGGCAGUUGCAUGUUUCCUUUGUUAUCCUUUUGUUUGAAGAUAGAGGAGUUGCACCUGACUGGGACUGCAGAGGCAUUCAAUUAAACAAACGCAUUUUAUUUUAGGAACCGUGUAACAAAGAGGAAACCAUUAGACGAUCUUCUCUUCCUUCAGGCAAGGAAAGCAUUGACAAGUGCUAUAUUUAGUUGUGAACUAUGCAACCUGCAAAAGGAUUUCAUCCAAAAUUAUCAGGAAAUGGAUCCCCCUUCACUUCUAGCAACAUGAACUUCAGGGAAUGCAAGCAGCUCACACAACACUCGAUACUCUUGUUCCUAAAUGCAUUUGUAUUAAAACCAAACUAAACCAGACCAAACCUGGAGGGGAAAAAAAGGGCAUUGUUAGGUAGCAAGUCUUCCUAGACCUAAGUCAUUAUUUGAGAUAUACUUGCUGACCUUGGAAGGCAAGGUAUUGCUCCUGUUUCUCUUAGUGCUGAGAUAGCCUAGGGCCCACAGUAACUGAACUGGACUGGAUGCAGGACUGUGCAUGUGAAAUGGCAUGUUCAAUGGAGCUCAAUCUUCAGGACUUAGCAUUAGCCCCAGUUAUGGCAAGAUACAGCCCUCCUGAGCUGAAGGACCUUGAUGUGUUUAUUAUUGCUUCUGAUGAGUCAUAACACUUUAGAAGGCAACUGGAUUCUCAGAUCUUAAAGCAAGUUUCCAAGGUAGCAUAGUAGAGCUGUAAACUGGGCUAAUUACAGGUAAUUUUUAUUUGUGACAGGAAAAAGAUGUUCACCCAAAUGUAGAGAGAUGGGAGAAUUUCCCUGAGCUACAUGCUUUGCUGCUGAGAAAGCAGAGCUUAGCAGAUGGAGGAAGAAGGAUCUGAUUUCCAACUUAGUCUUCUAUUAAUGUUUUAUGAUUUUAAAUUUAGCAGAGUAGGUCACUUUUCUAUGGUCUUUGCAAGACUUUCCUUUCUGUGGACUGCUAUAAGGAGUUCUGUAAAAAAUAGCUACAUAUCAGACAGCUACAUAUACAGGUUAUCAGAAUUGUCUCUUGUCCAAAAGAACAAGAGAGUCUGGUGCAAACUGCAUGGCAGCAGCCCUUCCUAUCAAACAAGCCUCAACAUCCUCACUCUGUCAAAACAUCCUCUGAGCACUGUGGCUUAGAUUCAGGUCUGGCUGGGUCUGGCUCUUCAAGUACACAUGGGUGAGCGAGAGCAGAGGAUGCAAGUAGUUCUUCCUUUCUUAACCUCUUUCCUGAUGUUAACCAUCUCCUGGCUAAAUGAGUAGGCUCUUGGCAGAGAAGAAAGUGUGAGCCUUUUCUUCCCCAUUCUGCCUAUACUGGAGAUGUAGGCUAUAAGAUAUUACCCAGCACGUUUUUAUGGCAUUCUUAUGGGGAAUGCUCUGGCACCAGCCCAUCAAGGCAUAUUGAUGGCAUCCCAGGAUACCUCCUUAAAGAAAUACAGGAAAGUAAAAUACAUCUCCACCCGCAUUGGCACUGGGGAACAACUGAGAGAUGGAUGCUGAUCCAUUCCGUCCCCCCAAAAAAGUACAGAGUACAUAGAGUGAAUUGCUUUCUGCUACCAUUGACUACUUAGAGAUCUGGCUUGGACUCAGCAACCUGAGAUCUAGGCAGAAAAAAACUGGGCAAAAGGCAUUGCACUCAGAUGACCAAGAUGGGAACAACAGAUGAUUCCUCUCAGGGCAUGUUUCAUUGUAUUCCAGGUGAAAAGUCAGUGUCCCAGGGCUAACUCCUGGAAGCAUCCCUAUCGCCUUUGUACUGCCAACCACCAUACAAGUUGAGGGGCCAUUGGGUAAAGAAUUAGAACGUGCUUACAAGUUACCUUGGUUCUCAUUUACACUGACAUCACUAUAGAGUAACUCUUCCAAUGCCAACAACAACGUCUCUCUCUUUAUGUUGUUGACACUUAGAAAUGAAACUUAGUGACAUGACACUUAGUGAAGGAAACACCGUGAGUCUAGGAACUUCAACGAGCAGUUCCUAAACUGAUGAAAUCCUAGGAGGCAGGAAAACCAAAAAGUAAAUUUCCAUGCAGCUUCCUACAUUCAACAGAUAAGCAACAACCACAACCUGCGUCUAAGAUGACUAAAAUGCACAGCUGGAUGCAUUUUGGCAGAAGAGGGAUGAGACAAUGUAAUGUAUCUACUGCACAUCUACUGCUGUGACUUUCAUAAGAAUUUAUAUCUUGAGACUUCAUUUAGCAAGGCGUUGAAUGUCUACCGCCUUCUGGAAGACACUCCACUAAUUGCAAAAUUAGGCACAGCGUGCGUGGAGGAGGUUGACCUUGCAAAAUUCUUAUUCUGUUUUCGAACAAUUAAGACUAACUUCGUGCCCAGUUUAAACUUCCAGACUUUGAGGCUCCAGAGUCUGGAUUGAAUCCAAGCCCCAGUGAAGUCACCUGGAGAUUUUCCAUUGACUUCACUAUGCUUUGGACCAGGCUCUUGGAAAGGCUAUUCCCAUGAACUCAAAUACCUAAAGCCAAACAUGGCUUAACACAAUUGAAAAAUCACCUACUUUUUAUGUUUUCAAAGGCAGAUCCACUGCUCAGCAGUAACAAUAAAGAAUUGGGUUGAAGGGGUGAAAAUAGAUAUGGAGUGGCUCUUCAAAAAGACUAUGGCAAUGCUCCAACAAUGCAGCACUGAAAACAAGAAUUUUUAAUGCAGAUUUUUUUAAUGAUACUGAAUUAGAUUUAAAGGGAAAGAAUCAUGCCAAUAUACCCAAAUUAGAGCAUUUUUUUUGGUUUUAUGUAUUUGAAUAAUUCUUGCUGUACUCUUUGAGAAAGAAAUAUCUUAUUGCUUAUAGGCAUUCCUUUUGCUGAAUCAGUUGUACUCCCAUUGUAAAGUGGAUUUUUUGAUGCCAGCUUUGGUGAUAUGCUAGAAUAGAUCUAUCCCCAAAACCAGUUUUCAUCAAAUUCAUUGCUAUGCUUCAAAGACAAGCCCGUCACAGGAGCUUUGCCUCUGCUCAAUGGUCUAGUCCCAAAGAGCCAGACUCACCCCUGAGUUCAGGUACGGUAUACACAUACUCGUCUCUUUUGUCCCACCAUCAAUUUUUUGAAAGCACAAUUCUUCUUUGCAAAUAGGUGCUCUUUGCAACAGAAACUCGGACUUUUAUGAAGUGUUUUUAUUACAACAAGCUAAUAUUUCUGUCUUUACAUCUGUUCUUUUGAACAAAGUCAGGUUUGAAUUUUUUCUGCAUUUGUGCAUAAGAUAUGUGACAUGCAUGCCCAGCAGCUUAGAGCAUAGACCCUUCUUUUUCAUGUUAUGUGGUUGUAAAGGGAGGAAAGAAAGCUUACAGAGGCUUUAUAUUGCCUCAUAAGCUUCACAAUCUACUUCUAUUGCUUAUUUCCUGCCCACAUCUAAGUUUUCAAAGGCUCCUCUCUUUGUUAGCGGACUAAUUAUUUUGACUAGUAGGCCAAAGCAUAGAUGCAUAUUGGAUUAGCAAUGCCCAUUAACUGUCCCUCAGCAAGUGGAAGAUUUGAUUCUGAACAGCUUGAUGCUGGUGUAAAGAAAGAGCCAUGUCCUGGAACUAAAUGGUAACUAUGGUACAAAGGAGGAUGAGACCAGAUGCGACCUCUCUUACUGGGAAAAUCAGCUCCUGCUGAUUUAGACAUCCUUGAAAGAAUCACAGAUUAUAGUUGACUUUUAAGCUCCUCAUUGAUUUUGAAGAAGAGCUAUUGGUCAUAGAGAAUGUAAAUGCCGGAGUAGGAAGAAGUGCAAGUGGUGAUGAAUUUGAGGUUCUUAAAUGCAACAAAAUGGCAGAACAGUCUUGUGUACAAAUAGAAUGGGGCACUUUUCUGUUAAACAAGUUGUCAAAAGCACUGCCUCUUAAUGCAGAACAAUAAAAUAAUCUUUUCAAACAGUUUAAUGGCCAGGAUGAAUGAAAGAAUCUGUGUCUGCUUUACAAACGGCCUGAUUACCGCCUGCUCACAUGCUUGUUCUGCAGUUGUAGUACAUUAGAAUUUGAAGUAGGAUGUUGUUAGCAACUCUUUGUGUGGGGUGGAAUUUGAAUCAAAAGCUAUAAAUGACCUGUGACAGCAAAAAUGAAAGUGCAAUUGCUUUCUCACAUGACCUGUUUCUUUUAGUGUCAUUAAACUUAAUCAAUGAUUAA